UUUUCUAAUGCCCUUAGUUUUCCAUCACUGCUUUUCUCUAUUCUGGAAUCUCCAAGGCUUCUUGAAUAUUCUUAGGAAUCCGGAUUCUAUCAAGGUUAGACGUAAAAGCACGACACUUAGCAGAAAGAGCAUUAUAAGAUACAAAUUUUGAGAUAGGAUGGAGAGUACAUGAACGAGGUUGUUUUCUAAGAGCAAUGGGUAAGUCAUCAAGAUUUGUUACCUAGCCAGGAUUGGGAUUUGGAUCAUGAGAAGUCGGAGCUAUCACCGAUUCUGACUCUUUUGGUUCUUCGAAUGCGAGAGUCUCAUUUGGCUUUGACUUUGGUCUCCUUGAGUAGACAAGUGUCUCCCUGUCUGUUUGCUUUCCCACAUCUUCCCCUGAGUUCAAGAUUCCUUUUGUGUUGGACAAGGAAUGAGAGGGUGUAUUGUAUGGGGUAGAUUCAAAUAUCGCAACAUCGAAGUCCAUGUUUGAGUGUCGAGCUUCACUCUUGGACUCCCCUUGCAGCGAGUAGUAGGGAAUAUGCUCAAAGAAUGUGACAUCUAGACUAACAUAUAAUUUCUGUGAGAUAGGUUCAUAACAUUUGUACCCCCUUAUGAGUGGGAGAGUAGACAAGUAAGAUACAUUUGAGAGCUUUAGGAUCCAACUUAUUCCGUUGGGAGGCGUGAAUGUGGACAAACACCGUGGACCUGAAAACACGAAGUGGGAGAGACAAACUGAGCCGAGAAUUAGGGAAAGUCUCUUAGAAUUUUUGGAGAGGGGUGGCAAAUGAGAGAACCCAACUGGUAGUCAAUUGAUGAGGAAUGCGGCUGUUAGGAUUGCAUCACCCCAGAAAGUAUUUUUCAAGUUAGAGGUGAACAGUAGGGCACGAGCUAAUUCCAGAAUAUGUCGGUUUUUAGGUUCAGCAACCCCAUUUUGUUAGGGGGUGUGAACGCAAGAACUCUGGUGAAUAAUGCCUUUUUCUUUAAAUAUUGAAAACUAGGAUGACCCGUUUGUUUGUACCAUAACAAAAGGCCAUUAUCCCUAAAUGCAGAAUUACAAAUUGGAGGACAAUACUAUUUACUCACGUGAGCGUCAUCAAAGUAGUAUAGCCCGUCGCAUUCCUUAGAACGGCCAAUUGUCUUUCCCGUUGAUAGGUCCUGAAAGACAUAAUGAGAAGACAAAACGUAGCUGAACAAUGAGAUUGUUUGAUUAGCUGACUAAUGGACAACAGAUUGCAUGAGAGAUUAGGAACAUGAAGAAUAGACUUCAAAGUAAGAAAUUUAUAGAUACGGAUACUACCUUUGCUAGCUAUUGGGGAUAAAGUACCAUAUGCAAUUUUUACUUUCAAGUUACCAGAACAAGGUGAAUAUGUGGAAAAUAAAUGAUGGGCAUCAGUCAUAUGGUUGGAUGCACCAGAGUCAAUAAUCCAAGGAGUAAGGUGAGAAGUGCACUGAGCGCACUUAAAAAAGUACCUUUGUGGGCUAAGGAACCCGAUGGCAUAGGAGUAGAAGACUGACCCAAGGUAUCUUUAGAAUGGCUCGAAUUUUUGCAAUGGUCAAAAAAUGACAUUUUAUUCUGACUUGGGCUAGAUUCUGUGGGAGACCCAUGAGUUACAAAGGCAAAAACUUCAGGCCCAGCUGUUAUUGUCGCCUUUCUUCUACUCUCUUCACGCCGAGCUUUAGAGAUCAUUUCUCGAAUGAACAGUAAUGGCCGACGACCCAAGAUUCGGCUCUUCACAUCAUCGAGCUCUCUGUUGAUCCCAACCAGAAACUCGUAUAGCUGAUACCAGGCAUCAAGCUCAGAAACGCCACAAACUGUAACACGUGUCCGGGAUUGAAUCCUUGGAGAAUGAGCCGACCUUCAACAUUCUCUUUAACGUGCAAACUCUCUCACACAUAAAAAUAUCAUUGGCGCUCUUUUCUCUGCCACGAGCAUUUUUGAUUCUUCGCUUCUCUGCAUGCUUCCUUUUCAGUGGGAAAGCUAGAUCAGCAAUAACAGCAGGAAUAGUAGCCCCGAGCAGGGACCACCAUACCUCAACCAUUAUUGCUACAGUUUCAAAGAUUUUUCUCUUCUCCCAGGCAUCAGAGGAGGUUUCGCAAGCAGCUCAUUCAGCUUCUCUACGGUAAGAUUAAUUGAGGAAUUUUCAAACCCGUCGGCCGAACCCAUGGAGGAUAUUAUCUUUGUUUCUCCUUCCUGAGUUGCCGACUGGGUAGACUCAUGGCUGUUGGCCAUGGAUUGCUAGGGUUUUCAUUGUAAUCCGAGCUCUGAUACCAUGAAGACAAUGAGAAUAUGAAAGUUGAAUCAAUUAUUUCAUUCGAUUGUAUAUUUUCUUUACAUACUCGGAUCCCUAUUUAACACGUACAAAGAGAACAAAAAUAUGGAAACAUAAAAUUCAACCCAUAAAAUCAGCCUAAAUAUCAGAUCUUAUAUUAUGACCUCAAUCUCAUCCAAAUCCCCUUCAAAUCAUUCGGGAUUUCCACAGUAUUCUUUGCCUUCAUCAAUUCUUCAAUCUUCCACAGAACCUUGGUUUUCUUCCUCCCUUUUCUUUUGAUUUGGAGUCAGUCCACAUUUAUGUCUAAAAUUUUUGCAUUGUUCACAAACUUUGCUCCAAAAGGCAGCACAAAUUUAAAAUUCAUCUACACUAUCUAAAACUAUUUUUGAGACUUCAUAGAUGGCCAACUUGAUGAAUAACCUAGUACAGGCAAGACAUCAUUUUCUAGUUGUUUCCUUCUGCAAGAUAACUAUGUUAUGACACCUGCUGCCAAGCGUAAUGCUUACGGAAAGUUUUGAAUGAAGCUAUAGGGUAGAUAUCUGCUUAUUUAAAGACUUGCAUUUAUUCACGAGAGAGAGAGAGUUGAUAGGACAACCCUGACAUAUGGCUCUUCUUAAGAUGUUGAUCAAGCUUUCAUUGAACUUCUAGAUUAUCUCAAUGCAUAUUUGGAGAACUUCCUUAAAUGUAUUCAAUGUCAUAUAUAUUGUUAUUGCAGACUGAGCUUCAUGGAUUAGCAGCUUUGCAGUGGUCUAUCUGUCAAGACUCACUCAGCAGUUGAGCUGACAGGCCCAAUGAAGCUCGUGUGAUGUAUGAGAAGCUUCAGUCUCACCCAAAUCCUCAAGUGAGCAAGAAGGCAAAACAGUUUAUAUUCGGCUUCCAGGCAAUGGAAAUGAUGAAGGUUAAAAGCUCAAUACUUUCUCCUGCAAGCACCGGUUAUCAAAAAUUUUUUGAAGCAUUUGUCGAAAAGAAAACAAAUUAUCCAGUGCAAGAGGAUGAAGUAGCUGAAGGUGCAUUGAGCAGUACCUUACCAUAUAUUAUUUUUCUUGUUUCUCCAAUACUAAUCGUGUUACUAAUUGCUGCUUUUAGGAUCCAAUAAUGACUUUGUUUUCUAUGUUCGAAUGUAAAUAGUUCCUAAAUAUUGUUUUGGAGCAUACAUCUGUAUAAAGAUCGGCACUGAAUUGAGAAAAAAAAAAUGAUGUCAAAGUGCUUAAAGAGUUACUGGUGUGAAAGCAUCUGUAUUGUUCCUCGAUAGCUUUGAGUUCAUAAAUUUCUUGCUUUUCCACUGAAAUUGUAGAAUGUAGUGCAGAUUUUUCAUAGAAAUCUUGUAAUGUUCAUGUUGUCUAGUAAAACCGUACUUUAUUAUUUAUUGCAUUUUUUCUUUGUAUCA